AUUGAACGCUGGCGGCAGGCCUAACACAUGCAAGUCGAGCGGAUGAAGGGAGCUUGCUCCUGGAUUCAGCGGCCGACGGGUGAGUAAUGCCUAGGAAUCUGCCUGGUAGUGGGGGAUAACGUCCGGAAACGGGCGCUAAUACCGCAUACGUCCUGAGGGUGAACGUGGGGGAUCUUCGGACCUCGCGCUAUCAGAUGAGCCUAGGUCGGAUUAGCUAGUUGGUGGGGUAAAGGCCUACCAAGGCGACGAUCCGUAACUGGUCUGAGAGGAUGAUCAGUCACACUGGAACUGAGACACGGUCCAGACUCCUACGGGAGGCAGCAGUGGGGAAUAUUGGACAAUGGGCGAAAGCCUGAUCCAGCCAUGCCGCGUGUGUGAAGAAGGUCUUCGGAUUGUAAAGCACUGUAAGUUGGGAGGAAGGGCAGUAAGUGAAUACCUUGCUGUUUUGACGUUACCAACAGAAUAAGCACCGGCUAACUUCGUG
rnacentral:rRNA from 1 species